ensembl:lncRNA
AAAUGGGGGAAGUACCUAGUUAGGUCACUUAGCUUCUGAGUCAUGGGUCUGCAGAGUUCACAGUCAAGUGGAGGAGGCUGGAAGGGUUUAACUAUCAGGAAUGGUGAUAGGUGGGAGACAACACCGAGAGGGCCCAGCUGUUCCCCUGCUGCAUGAAAACUUAAAAAUUGCCCUAGAGUAGGUGACCUGUUGGAUUAAGCCUUAAGUUUUCUUUGAUGGGAAACUCUUGUUUUCUGCUCUUUAGCUUAUGACUAGGCAUCCAGAGACAAGGUGCUGUAUUUGCUCUUGCCUGUUUCCAUUGGCUGUAAAGGUGAAAAAUCCAUUUAAAAGGACAGGUUAAAGUGCAGUUCCAGAGCCACAGGACUCUAAAGGCGUUGACGUAGCAGAUGAGAUGAGCCCAGCUGUCCAUCCCCGUUUGUCAAGCACCUGCUCUAUGAGGCCAGAAGACGAGAAGAUGUGCCCAGACGGAAGGCAGGCCAUGACUAGAGAGCUCAAAGUACUGGUCUCACGUCCAUUGGCCGUCCUGGCACCAAGUGGAAAGUCGGGGGAUGAGAGGACCUUAGCCCAAGCUGGUCAGAUAAUGGCCUUCCUGGGGAGGGGAUAUUUCACCUGGGUCUUGAGAGUUAACCACCCAGUGCCCAAGACAGCAUUUGGCUUCAAACUAGCCUUUAAAAAAAAAAAAAGUUAAUUUCUAAGUGAAAAGGAAGUAGAUAAAUUGGAUGAUAAAUUUGUAAAUAUUUGUGAUAAAGGCAUAAGGAGUACUUGGGGCUUCCCAGGUGGCGCUAGUGGUAAAGAACCUGCCUGCCAGUGCAGGAGACAUAAGAGAAGCCGGUUGGAUCCCUGGGUCUGGAAGAUCCCCUGGAGGAGGUCAUGGCAACCCACCCCAGUAUUCUUGCCUGGAGAAUCCCGUGGACAGAGAAGUCUGGUGGGCUACAGUCCAUGGGGUCGCAAAGAGUCAGACCCAAGUGAAGCGACUUAGCUUGCACUCACAGCACUCAGUUUUUCAUGAGCCGUUCCUUAUUCAGAGUUUCCACUUGAACUUAAUAGCAGAAGUGGGUUUGGAGUUCCAGGCCUUGGAAGGCGCACCAGCUACAAAGGUUCCCUUACUACUUACGGCACGUGAAACGUCCCUGGUGGGUCCAUUCACUUCCGACCCUGUACUUCUGCUGGGAUCUUCCGGGGGCAACGCCACUCACGAGUGUAGAUUUCUGCCAUGACUUGCGGUCCCCGGCGUCGCCUGAGCAUUCGAUGCUGCUUGACACUUCUUUUCCCUGGUCCUCACUCUGGCACCCGCACCACCAUUUUGCUCAGCGGAUUCUCGAAAUGACUUUUUUCAAAGCUCAUAAGAAAUCUGCCUGUGUGCUCUCCAUUCCCUCGCCUCCCCACAGUGGCCCAGUGCCAGCGUCCCCUGCUUCAAGGCAGUUGGAGGGAUCCAAGUUCGUUCGCUCAGACACCCAGGGUCCCCUCAUGGCUGCUCCUGGCUGAGCCCGAGUUCCCGUCUCCACCUGCGCUCCCCCUCCUCCCAUCCCGGGGACCUGCCCUGUGCCCUGGGCUCUCUUCCCUUGGCAACGUCUCUCCCUGUCUUUAGAAACAGGGCUCUCUCUUGACCCCAUGUCCCCCAGGAGUCACUGCCCAUCUCCUUGCAGUCCCAGCCAAGCCCUGAGAGCAGGUCUGCGCUGACCGUCUCCGCUCCAUCUGUUGAGCCGCAGGUACCGCAUCAUCACGUGUGGUGGAGCCCGCACGGGUGAGGCCUUUCUGACCUCACUUCUCAUCCUCGUGCUCAUGAGGUUCCCAGACCCCCUCCUCGGCUCUGCCAUCCCAUUCAUCCACCUGGUCCGCCUUCUGGCCUCUGGCUUCCCCUCCUCCUGCCUGCUGCCCCGUGUCCCCCUGAGUCACCCAUCCUCGUGGUCUCGACAGCCGCGGGCGGCUGACGAUUCUCAGCUGCCUGUGGCUCUCCCCAGAGCUCUAGAUCCACAUGCACUGUCUGUCCUCGGGGGUCCCGCGGGGUCCGUCCCUGCACCUGCCCGCUCACCCGUCACACCCACUUGCCCGGGACGGAAACCUGGAAACCAUCUUCGACUCCCUUGGCUCCGUAACCCCCACCGUCAGCCAUCAGGUUCUCCUAAAUCUUUCUCACACCAGCUUUUCUCUUUCCCCGCCAUCCCUGCUGUGCUGCAGGCCCCGUCCCACCGUCUCACCAAAACCUUUGCCAACCAGCUGCGUGACCUGCUCCAGCCCUCCUUUCCCAAGGCUCUCCGGAGGCUUCCUAACCUGCAGGUGGAACCACAUCAUUCCAGUCGAAACUCAAAGUUUGGAGCCGCUCCUCCAGUAGGCAUUUCAAACGCGCAGCCUUGUUUUCCACCCCUCCUGCCUCCCCCAGCUCCAGUGGUUCAGACCUUUGUUUUCAGGCUGGCCAUUCUCUGCCCAGGAGACCCUUUCUCACCGCCUUUGACAUUCCUCCUCUUCCAAAGCAGCUCAGGUGGCAUCUCAAAGAAGCCUUCCCUGGAAGGGCAUUUCGGUAGCAUUCCGCCCAAAUUGCUAUCAUCGUCUUCACGGUGAAAGUGACCUGUUAACCUUCCUGCUUGUCCACCAAGCUGCGCCUUUGAGGGCAGGGGCAGUUUCUCUUCUGCCUCCAGCCUCGGAGUGGACCAGGGCCAGCCCGAUGCAGGACGCGCGGUCGGCCCCAUCGGAGCAGAAACGCCCGGCGCUGCCCCUCCUGGUUUCGUCCUCCACCCCCACCGCCUGUGGAACGCAGAGUGGUUGCAUGCCAUGUACAACUGAAUCACCUUGCUGUACGCCUGGAAACUGCCACCACACUGUUAAUCAGCCAAACUCCAGGACGAAAUAAAAAGUUUUCUAAAAAGUCCCAGCUCCUUAGCUGGGCUAAAAGGGAAAUGUGGCAUAAUAGGGGAAAAAAAAAAAAGAAGUUUCCAUGAGACAGACCCAGAUUUUAAUAGCGGUUCCACUACUUAUCGGUUCAGUGAUCUCGGUUUUUUUUCUUGUAGUAAAAAGGCACAGAAUUUACUGUCUUCGCCGUUUUCAUGUGUGCGGCUCAUUGGUGCCGAGGACGUCUGGGUAGCCACGCAUCCCACCACCGCUGUCCUUCCCCCGGGCUCCUUUCAUCUUGCCAAACCGAAGCUCUCUUCCUGCUGAACAGUAACCCCCGACUCGGACUCCCCACAGCCCACCCCCGACACCCACCUUUCCCUUUGUGUCUCCCAACACCUUUCUGUCUCCGUGAACUUGACUGUCCAGAUAACGUCAUUCGUAUCAGCGAAUCAUGCAGCGUUUGUCCUUUUACGUCUGGCUUAUUUCACUUCACAGAGUCCCCAGUACUCAUCCACGUCACGAUGCAUGUCAGAAUUUCCUUCCUUUCUAGGGCUGAAUAAUGGUCCAUUGUAUACAUAUACACACACACACACACACACAUAUCACAUUUUACUAAUCCAUUCAUUCCCUCAGUGGAUAAUUGAGUUUCUUCCACAUUUUAGGUGUCGUGAAUAAUGCUGCUGUGAACAUGGGUGUUCAAUUAAACAC